UAGUGACUUAAUAUGAUGUAUGUUGCUGU
rnacentral:piRNA from 1 species